UACAGAGGUCUCAAGCGUUGUUCGGAUUUAUUGGGCGUAAAGGGCGCGUAGGCGGCGGGGUAAGUCGGGUGUGAAAUCUCAGGGCUCAACCCUGAAACUGCACUUGAUACUGCUCUGCUUGAGGACUGGAGAGGAGACUGGAAUUCACGGUGUAGCAGUGAAAUGCGUAGAUAUCGUGAGGAAGACCAGUGGCGAAGGCGGGUCUCUGGACAGUUCCUGACGCUGAGGCACGAAGGCCAGGGGAGCAAACGGGG
rnacentral:rRNA from 1 species